GCGGCGUGCUUAACACAUGCAAGUCGAACGGAAAGGCCCUGCUUUUGUGGGGUGCUCGAGUGGCGAACGGGUGAGUAACACGUGAGUAACCUGCCCUUGACUUUGGGAUAACUUCAGGAAACUGGGGCUAAUACCGGAUAGGAGCUCCUGCUGCAUGGUGGGGGUUGGAAAGUUUCGGCGGUUGGGGAUGGACUCGCGGCUUAUCAGCUUGUUGGUGGGGUAGUGGCUUACCAAGGCUUUGACGGGUAGCCGGCCUGAGAGGGUGACCGGCCACAUUGGGACUGAGAUACGGCCCAGACUCCUACGGGAGGCAGCAGUGGGGAAUAUUGCACAAUGGGCGGAAGCCUGAUGCAGCAACGCCGCGUGCGGGAUGACGGCCUUCGGGUUGUAAACCGCUUUCGCCUGUGACGAAGCGUGAGUGACGGUAAUGGGUAAAGAAGCACCGGCUAACUACGUGCCAGCAGCCGCGGUGAUACGUAGGGUGCGAGCGUUGUCCGGAUUUAUUGGGCGUAAAGGGCUCGUAGGUGGUUGAUCGCGUCGGAAGUGUAAUCUUGGGGCUUAACCCUGAGCGUGCUUUCGAUACGGGUUGACUUGAGGAAGGUAGGGGAGAAUGGAAUUCCUGGUGGAGCGGUGGAAUGCGCAGAUAUCAGGAGGAACACCAGUGGCGAAGGCGGUUCUCUGGGCCUUUCCUGACGCUGAGGAGCGAAAGCGUGGGGAGCGAACAGGCUUAGAUACCCUGGUAGUCCACGCUGUAAACGGUGGGUACUAGGUGUGGGGUCCAUUCCACGGGUUCCGUGCCGUAGCUAACGCUUUAAGUACCCCGCCUGGGGAGUACGGCCGCAAGGCUAAAACUCAAAGGAAUUGACGGGGCCCCGCACAAGCGGCGGAGCAUGCGGAUUAAUUCGAUGCAACGCGUAGAACCUUACCUGGGUUUGACAUGGAUCGGGAGUGCUCAGAGAUGGGUGUGCCUCUUUUGGGGUCGGUUCACAGGUGGUGCAUGGCUGUCGUCAGCUCGUGUCGUGAGAUGUUGGGUUAAGUCCCGCAACGAGCGCAACCCUUGUUCACUGUUGCCAGCACGUUAUGGUGGGGACUCAGUGGAGACCGCCGGGGUCAACUCGGAGGAAGGUGGGGAUGACGUCAAGUCAUCAUGCCCCUUAUGUCCAGGGCUUCACGCAUGCUACAAUGGCUGGUACAGAGAGUGGCGAGCCUGUGAGGGUGAGCGAAUCUCGGAAAGCCGGUCUCAGUUCGGAUUGGGGUCUGCAACUCGACCUCAUGAAGUCGGAGUCGCUAGUAAUCGCAGAUCAGCAACGCUGCGGUGAAUACGUUCCCGGGGCUUGUACACACCGCCCGUCAAGUCAUGAAAGUUGGUAACACCCGAAGCCGGUGGCCUAACCGUUGUGGGGGAGCCGUCGAAGGUGGGACUGGUGAUUAGGACUAAAU
rnacentral:rRNA from 1 species